GAGCUUUGUCUCCUAAAGAUGGAAGCUUUCACCGAAUCUUGGGUUUCUUCUUCAAUCCAAGAAAAACCCAAAUGGUUUCACCGAAUCUUGACUACAACCCGUCAAAUUUGUUGUUCUCCACAGAGCCUACUGCCCUCCAUGUCUCAACAAGCUUCUCUUCACCACCAAGAAUCCAUUCUCAUUUGCUUUCGACUCCUUGUUCAUUCUAUGCACUUCUCUAGCUCUGCCUUUGUCCCUGUUCGUCGCCCAUGUUGACUCGGCCUCUGCUUUAGGCUAGGUUGAAUUGUUCUAGUGAUGCCGAUUGAAAUUACUCGUGUAUACAUAUUUGAGAUGAGUUUAGAUUAUGCAGUUUUGAUAUGGGCUUGGAUUAUGCUAAGGGAAUCAAUGGAGUUGGGAGUAUAGAUGGAUAUGGGAUUGAGCAAAAUGAAGCUGAAAGGGUAUUGCAUUUGGCACCAAUAGGAAACUCUUGGGUUCUUCAGCUAAGGAAGUCAAAAGGUCAUCAGAUGAUGAGACUUGUCGAAUUUGGGAUGCUAGGUCCUCUCAAUGCCCUCCACGAAUAUUCAUGCCAAAACCUUUGGACCCUAUAACAGGUUAGAUGAUGCUGCCUAGAGUGUUGCUGAAUUGAUUACGUACAGCUUGUUUUGAUAAUUGCAGAUAGUCAUUUACACG